GCCAGUAGCCAUAUCACCCUGCAACUCGCAACCGGCAUCCCACAGACACCCAGCAGUGUGAGCCUGGUCAGUACUUGGAUGGGAGACCUCCUGGGAAAGCUGAGAUACUGCUGGGA
rnacentral:rRNA from 1 species